UUGCAUUUGAAGCCCAUGAGGAUGAGAACCUCCGGGGGCGGGGAGGUUCGACUCGAGCGAAGCGAGAGAACGUUGCGCCAGCAACGGCCCGCAGGGCGA
rnacentral:sRNA from 2 species